rnacentral:rRNA from 1 species
GUCUCAGGCCGUAUCAGCCUGAAGGGCCCGAUCUCGUCUGAUCUCGGAAGCUAAGCAGGGUCGGGCCUGGUUAGGAUCUUGGAUCGGGAGACCACCUGGGAAUCCCGGGUGCUCGAGGCU